rnacentral:misc_RNA from 1 species
AAGUCGUAACAAGGUUUCCGUAGGUGAACCUGCGGAAGGAUCAUUAACGAAUUUUGUUCUUUGAACAAUUUCUCAUCCUUUUCCCUGUGAACUUUAUUGAUUUUAUUUUGGUCAGGAGUAUUUUUUCCUUGGCCAAAAGAUUUUUUCAAACCCAAUUUAUUUUUAACCUUUAUGUCUGAACAGAAAUAUUGAAUUAUUCAAAA